rnacentral:rRNA from 1 species
GACGAACGCUGGCGGCGUGCUUAACACAUGCAAGUCGAACGGAAAGGCCCUGCUUUUGUGGGGUGCUCGAGUGGCGAACGGGUGAGUAACACGUGAGUAACCUGCCCUUGACUUUGGGAUAACUUCAGGAAACUGGGGCUAAUACCGGAUAGGAGCUCCUGCUGCAUGGUGGGGGUUGGAAAGUUUCGGCGGUUGGGGAUGGACUCGCGGCUUAUCAGCUUGUUGGUGGGGUAGUGGCUUACCAAGGCGUUGACGGGUAGCCGGCCUGAGUGGGUGACCGGCAACAUUGGGACUGAGAUACGGCCCAGACUCCUACGGGAGGCAGCAGUGGGGAAUAUUGCACAAUGGGCGGAAGCCUGAUGCAGCAACGCCGCGUGCGGGAUGACGGCCUUCGGUUUGUAAACCGCUUUCGCCUGUGACGAAGCGUGAGUGACGGUAAUGGGUAAAGAAGCACCGGCUAACUACGUG